CUCGGUUAUUUAAGCGACAUGGCACCACCUCUUCCCAUCCCGAACAGAGAAGUGAAACGUGUUAGCGGCGACAAUACUAAAGACGCAAGUCUUCGGGAAGAUAGCUCAUAGCCGGGG
rnacentral:rRNA from 1 species